rnacentral:lncRNA from 1 species
GGUUAUUAGCAGAAGUUGGGAGUAGGUCUAGGUUCAGUCCUGGAAGGAAAGGAAGUCUAAAAGAAUUAGGAGUUCCAACCCAACCAUUUAUAAAAUCUAAAUCUGGUCUGACAAUGUAUACAAACUUUAUGUCUGCUACUUGUAUCUUAAGAAAUGUUUUAUAUUUAAAUUAAGAAAAUGCGCACUAACAAAAGUAAUUUCACUAGUUGCAUCUUAGUUAAUCUUGAUGAAUCAUGAUUGUGAUAUCACUGGCUGUUAGUGCAAAAGAGGGCCCGAAUUCAUCAGGAAGUGGGAGCAGGUAUAGGUCUUCUAUCAAAUGAUAUGUUGAAGAGGGGAA